GGGCCCGCACAAGCAGCGGAGCAUGUGGUUUAAUUCGAAGCAACGCGAAGAACCUUACCUGGACUUGACAUCCCCUGAAUAGCCUAGAGAUAGGCGAAGCCCUUCGGGGCAGGGAGACAGGUGGUGCAUGGUUGUCGUCAGCUCGUGUCGUGAGAUGUUAGGUUAAGUCCUGCAACGAGCGCAACCCCUAUCAUUAGUUGCUACCAUUAAGUUGAGCACUCUAGUGAGACUGCCCGGGUUAACCGGGAGGAAGGUGGGGAUGACGUCAAAUCAUCAUGCCCCUUAUGUCCAGGGCUACACACGUGCUACAAUGGUGGGUACAGAGAGAUGCAAGACCGCGAGGUGGAGCAAAACUCAAAAACCCAUCCCAGUUCGGAUUGUAGGCUGCAACUCGCCUACAUGAAGCCGGAGUUGCUAGUAAUCGCGAAUCAGAAUGUCGCGGUGAAUACGUUCCCGGGCCUUGUACACACCGCCCGUCACACCAUGAGAGCUGGCAACACCCGAAGUCCGUGAGGUAACCUGCAAAGGAGCCAGCGGCCGAAGGUGGGGUUAGUGAUUGGGGUGAAGUCGUAACAAGGUAGCCGUAGGAGAACCUGCGGCU
rnacentral:rRNA from 1 species